ACCAUAUCACGUUCAAACACCGAGAUUAAGCAACGUAGAGCCUGAUCAGUACCUAAAUGGGUGACCGUUUGGGAAUACCAGGUGUUGUAGG